UGUACUGGCUGUUCCCUGCAGCGGUCCCCCGGACGGGAUCAAAUAACUAGCCCCGUAGCUGCCACGUCCAGCACGCAUUGCUGCCCCAACCGCCACCGGGCGUGUGUUGGUGUCGCCUGCGGGGCGCGAGUUUCUCCUCCAGUGAUCUCACGGGUAUUGGUUGCGGGUGAGAACUCGGGCGUAUUGCAGCGGAUCAUGCUCUGCGUCAGCGGCUUUAAUCGCGUCCGAAUUGGCGUCCACGCGUACGAUUCAACCAUCGCCACCCACGCGUCGAUAGAGGAAAAAAUAUCUCCUGACGAAGGUACUGUGAAUGCUGACCGUCACCUGCCGGUCGAAGAAGGAAUUAGCCGGUGAACAGAGAGGGUGGGCUUUUAAAUCGGCGGCACUUCGAUAGCAUCAGCAUCAACUGAUUUCCAGCCUCUCUCUCUCUUUCCCUCUCUGCGAUUCUCGACUACGCCGGCGGGGGAUGGCUUGGUGGGAUCGGGUGGCAUCACCGAUGAGGAAGGUCUGGGCCGGCGUCGCCACCCGCGUCGGCAUUCGCAAAUCCGGGCUGCUGCGGCUGAGGCAGGAAGUGAGCACGUGCGAGUACGAGGACGUGCGCGUGCUGUGGGAACUGCUGACCGAAUCACAAUGCCGACGGCGGCGACGAGGGGGAUGAGACGCCGGGGAGACGAGUCGCACGCUUUGGGGCGGGCUCGCAUCGGCUUCUGCCGCAGCCUCUAGACUCGUCGCACUCGUGCCGGCAUCGUGAUUCGGUUUCUUUACUUGGGUGGCCUCUUUGUAAAUACCACCGGCUUGUAUAAUAUAAUACAGUAGUAGUAUAUAAUAAAUGGCCUCAUAGUUAGUUACUCA